rnacentral:rRNA from 1 species
AACGAACGCUGGCGGCGCGCUUAACACAUGCAAGUCGAACGAGAAGGCGUAGCAAUACGCUUGUACAGUGGCGAACGGGUGAGUAAUACGUGGGCGACCUACCCUCGAGUGGGGAAGUAACCCGCCGAAAGGCGGGCUAAUGCCGCGUACGCUUCCAUCUUUAUGGAGGUGGAAGGAAAGCCGUGCCGUGGGCACGGCGCUCAAGGAUGGGCUCACGUCCUAUCAGCUUGUUGGUAGGGAACGGCCUACCAAGGCUCCGACGGGUAGCUGGUCUGAGAGGACGAUCAGCCACACUGGCACUGCGACACGGGCCAGACUCCUACGGGAGGCAGCAGUGAGGAAUAUUGCACAAUGGGCGAAAGCCUGACGCAGCGACGCCGCGUGGGGGAGUGAA